rnacentral:rRNA from 1 species
AACGAACGCUGGCGGCAUGCCUAACACAUGCAAGUCGAACGAGACCUUCGGGUCUAGUGGCGCACGGGUGCGUAACGCGUGGGAACCUGCCCUUAGGUUCGGAAUAACUCCCCGAAAGGGGUGCUAAUACCGGAUAAUGUCUUCGGACCAAGGAUUUAUCGCCUUUGGAUGGGCCCGCGUUGGAUUAGCUAGUUGGUAGGGUAAAAGCCUACCAAGGCGACGAUCCAUAGCUGGUCUGAGAGGAUGAUCAGCCACACUGGGACUGAGACACGGCCCAGACUCCUACGGGAGGCAGCAGUGGGGAAUAUGGGACACCGGGCGAAAGCCUGAGCCAUCAAUGCCGCGUGAGUGAUGAAGGCCUUAGGGUUGUAAAGCUCUUUUACCCGGGAUGAUAAGGCCAGUACCGGGAGAAUAAGCUCCGCCUACCUCCGU